rnacentral:rRNA from 1 species
GACGAACGCUGGCGGCGUGCUUAACACAUGCAAGUCGAACGGAAAGGCCCUGCUUUUGUGGGGUGCUCGAGUGGCGAACGGGUGAGUAACACGUGAGUAACCUGCCCUUGACUUUGGGAUAACUUCAGGAAACUGGGGCUAAUACCGGAUAGGAGCUCCUGCUGCAUGGUGGGGGUUGGAAAGUUUCGGCGGUUGGGGAUGGACUCGCGGCUUAUCAGCUUGUUGGUGGGGUAGUGGCUUACCAAGGCAUUGACGAGUAGCCGGCCUGAGAGGGUGACCGGCAACAUUGGGACUGAGAUACGGCCCAGACUCCUACGGGAGGCAGCAGUGGGGAAUAUUGCACAAUGGGCGGAAGCCUGAUGCAGCAACGCCGCGUGCGGGAUGACGGCCUUCGGGUUGUAAACCGCUUUCGCCUGUGACGAAGCGUGAGUGACGGUAAUGGGUAAAGAAGCACCGGCUAACUACGUG